GAGCAAACAGGAUUAGAUACCUGGUAGUCCACGCUGUAAACGAUGUCGAUUUGGAGUUUGGGGGCAUGACCCUUGGGCUCCGGAGCUAACGCGUUAAAUCGACCGCUGGGGAGUACGGCCGCAAGGUUAAAACUCAAAUGAAUUGACGGGGGCCCGCACAAGCGGUGGAGCAUGUGGUUUAAUUCGAUGCAACGCGAAGAACCUUACCUGGUCUUGACAUCCAUAGAAUCUUUCAGAGAUGAGAGAGUGCCUUCGGGAGCUAUGAGACAGGUGCUGCAUGGCUGUCGUCAGCUCGUGUUGUGAAAUGUUGGGUUAAGUCCCGCAACGAGCGCAACCCCUAUCCUUUGUUGCCAGCACGUAAUGGUGGGAACUCAAAGGAGACUGCCGUUGAUAAAGCGGAGGAAGGUGGGGACGACGUCAAGUCAUCAUGGCCCUUACGACCAGGGCUACACACGUGCUACAAUGGCGUAUACAAAGGGAUGCGAAGGUGCGAACUGGAGCGGACCUCACAAAGUACGUCUAAGUCCGGAUUGGAGUCUGCAACUCGACUCCAUGAAGUCGGAAUCGCUAGUAAUCGUGAAUCAGAAUGUCACGGUGAAUACGUUCCCGGGCCUUGUACACACCGCCCGCCACACCAUGGGAGUGGGUUGCACCAGAAGUAGAUAGCUUAACCUUCGGGAGGGCGUUUACCACGGUGUGGUUCAUGACUGGGGUGAAGUCGUAACAAGGUAACCA
rnacentral:rRNA from 1 species